ensembl:sense_intronic
UGAACUCUUGGGAGGAGGUUGUUUGUUUUAUUCUUUAAUUUAGAAAAUAAUUGUUGUAAAGACAAAAGGUAGAGGAGUUGUAUGGAGUAAUAUCAUUUAUUUUUUAAUAGAAGUCCCAAACUAUUAGUUUAUAUUGUCAUGCCUAUACUCUCAAGAAAAUAAAAGGAAUCAAAAGAGGGUAGACAUUUCCUUGAAAGUACAGUUGUUAUCUGGCUAUCAGACAGUUUGUCUUUGGCUCAAUUCACUAGUAAUUUUUAUGUUUGCUUAAGAAAAUCUUAUGACAUCGCUUUGGGAAAAUAGAUAAUAUUUUUGAUCCUCUGUGUUUUAGAGGUUGAAAUGGUUUUUUAUUGUUGACAAAAAUUGAUUGAAAAUGCAAAUACUGCAUGCAUCUACAGAUAUAAUAUGCAUCUCAGCAUAUUGUCCCUUACAGGGACAGUAAUGAAGGGGGCUGCAGAUCGGCAGGUUAGACCUGCAAUUUACUUUGGCUUUACAAACAGGUCUUUCUAAGUGAAGUAAUAGUGAAGACCUACAAACUUAUAAUUUCUAUAGCAUCAGAAGUUGAAUUGUUGCUUUUCUAUAGUAACUCACUUUCUGUUUCAGAGUUAGUUUGUCAUUAAGUACGGUGACACAAACAUAAUUGGCUUUAAACUUGCCUUUGUUCAUAAACUUUGAGUUAUUUUUAUAUAGUAAGGAAUAGAAUUUAAUGUAAAAUUGAGUGUUCAAUUCUCUCAUAGCCUUCAAUCUUGUGGCUUCACUUUUUUAAAAAUGUAGCUCAAAAGAAUAUUGGCAAUUGUUAUUUCAGUGUGUUUUAAUGUCAGAAUUAAGACAAAAUUAGUGGUCUGAUUUACGAAUAGAAUUAUCAGAUUAUCAGAGUGAGUGAUAAUAUGUAGUAUCAGUUAUACACUUAAAAUGAAGUUAACAGUUCAAAUUCCCAUUAUGCACAUAAAAUCCCAUUGUGUAUCUUUGCAAAAUUUUUGUCUCUCAUUGAGCUGUGAGUAAGACAGCACUGAACAUGGAUGUAUAAAUACUCUAUAGUAUGAUGCAGAGUCCUUUGAGUAUACCAGGAGGGGUAUAGCCGGCUAGUACAGCAGUUCUGCUUUAUUUAUUUAUUACUUUGAGGCACCACCUGUGAAUGCUUAGUUUUAUUUACCCAUUUGACACACUCUGGAAUCACCUGGAGACUUCACUGAGAGGAAGUCUCACUGAAGAGUGGUCUAUAAGGUUGGCCUGUAGACUUGUCUUUGGAAGAUUGUCUUGACAUGCCAAGACCUAUUGUAACAGUGGGCAAUGACCUUCCCUGGGUCUGAGUCCUGGAUUGUACAGAAGAGGAGGACGUAAACUGCACACAAGCAUGCAUGCCUUAAUUUGUUGUACUCGGGUCUUGACCAUGGAUAUAAGUGACUGCUUCAGGUUCCUUCUGCCUUGACUUCCCACUGUGGUGGACUAUAACAUGGAAUUAUGAGCUCUAAAAUAACCCUUCCUAAAUUGUAUUUGUUAGGGGUUGGAUUACAGCAACAGGAAAUGAAACUAAGACACCUCCAUACUGAUUUCCACAGUAGUUUUGCUGGUUUAGACUCCCACCAGCAGUAUUAAGGGUUCUUCUUCUCCAUAUCCUCAUUAUUAUUUUUUCUCUUCUUUUCCUUCCUUCCUUCCCUCUCCCUCCCCCUUCUCCUCCUCCUCCUUCUGUUUGUUUUUUUUGAUAUUGCCAUUUAUUUACACUUUGCCCUUUCCCUUCUUCCCUCCAGACCGUCUCAAAUACCCCUCCCAAUUUUCCUUCAAAACCAUGGCCUUUAAAAAAAAAAAAAUCAAUUGUUAAUUGUAUACACAUGUAUUUGUGUGUGUGUGUGUGUAUGUAUGUAUGUAUGUAUGUAUGUAUGUAUGAAUGAUAUAUAUCCUUAAAUAUAGCUGUUCAGUGUGACUUAUAUGUGUGUUUUCAGGUCUGACUAUUUGGCACUGGAUAAGAAGUUGGUGUGCUCUUCUCUGGGGAGGACCACCUCUUGUGCUCCCCACUUUAUUCAGUUGCCUUUAGUUCUUGGUAUAGGGUUGAGGCCUCUCAGGUGGUACCGCUCUUGUUGAGUGGAUCUUAAGUCCAGUUGGAGAGCAUUUAGUUGUGACCAGGGUGUUCAGGCCACUUCUGCACCCAUAGUGUUACUGUGCCAUGCUAGUUUAUGUUUUCUUAAUAUUCAGGCAAGGGUGAGAUAAAACUCCAAAGUAGUUUCAAUUUGCUUUUCCUUAAUGGCUAAAGAUAUUGAACAUUCUUUAAAAUAACAUUUGGCCAUUUGUGUUUUUUCUUUGGAGAUGUGUCUGUUCAUUUUAUGAGCCCAUUUAUCAAUUAAUAGUUUUAUGGUUUUGGUAUUUAAGUUUUGUAGUUCUUUAUAUAUGGUAGUUAUCAUAGCACCUUUAAUCCCAGUAUUCAGGAGACAAAAGCAUGUAGAUUUCUAAAAUCAAGGUCAGUCAGAGAGUAAGUUCUACUCAACCAAGCUUAGGCAGUAAAGGGAACCACUGAAAACAGAAAGCUACUGAAGAUGGAAUAGAACAAGAGACCCACAAGCAGCAGAACUCAGCAUCUUAAGUCAUCUUUAGAGUCAAGAGUAGAAGGGGUUACUGGAACAAUUGAUCCUGGUUAGCUGGAGCUAAGAAAUUUGUGGUGAUUUAAAAGACCAGCAUCACUGAGAUGACAUCUUCUGGGAAGUAUUUUCUGAGAGCACAAAGAAGCUGUAUUGCAGAGGUAGACAUUGUGCUGGCAGCUGGACUUGGUAAUAUGUUAAGAAUCAUCCCAGUGGCACUGGUUUCGAAGGCAUGAAGGGGUCAUGAAGAGCCGCUGAGGCUGGCCACCGGUGAAGGUGCAGCAUAAGUCGUAGUUGAUGGCUCAGGACUCAACGAGUCAUGUAAAGAAGUUGAGGCUUGGCACCAUGAACAGAGUCUGAUUGUCAGUUUUACAUAGUAAGUUGAACCUGCAAUUCUCUUUGUCAUGGUGUCCCCAGAAGCGUACUGUUUUAUUUGUGCCUUGUACUUUUAAGUCUUUUACUGAUUUUUCUUGUUUUUGUUCUCAACUUAUAUCCUUGGACUAGUAAGUAUAGUCCUGGUUUUCUUAUCUUCCCAGUCUAUACUCUCCUGCGUUUUUCUUAUGGCUCUUUUAUAUAUUGUUGCCACCAUGUUAAAAAUUCUAUCUCCUUCUUAAUAAUUAUUUCUGCUAAUUCAUAAAGUAAUUAUUGCCUUGAAAGUUUGUUUCACUUUUAUUGUUUGAAUUAGGAUUAAAAUUAAUUAAAAAAUGAAUCAUCUUAAUGCAUUUCACCAUGUGGUGAAUAUAGCAAAUUUUAAUGUUUAGUUGAGUUCAUGGCAAGCAUUGCUGAACCUGUUCGUGAGAUGGGCACUACCUCAAUAGUAGUUGAAGCAUGAGUUAUGCUCCGGACACCUGACUGAUAGUUGGUUGGGACAUUGUUUCAAUUUAUUUUAAAUAUGAUUUGGGUAAAAUACAUACAUAGUUUUAGGCUUGCCCUUUUUUAUUCAUAAGUCUGUUUAGGAAAAAUCAGUUAUUUUUUUCUGUAUGUUUGUGUGAAGUUAUUAAUGACCACUAAGCAAAAUAAUUUUCAGUGAGACGCUCACGUUGUUAAUUUCUUAUAGCCAAUUUCUAUUCCAGUUCUGGUGUAUUGUCAUUAUAAUUAUGGUAGUAGCUAGCUAAUGUAAUCUUAAGGUUAACCUUUAAAAUCUUCAUCUGAUCACCACUUUGUACUGAAAAUUUUUACAUUAGCCUACAAAGUGACACCUUUCAUUGUGUGUGUUUUCACACUUUGUUUCAGUAGAUCCUCCCCACACAUGUUCAUGCCCUUUUGCCUCUAAUAGUCUCCUUCCCUCUUUGGUUGCUCAUAGUAGUCACCCUCCCAUAAGACCCACGAAAACACACACUCUGUCUGUCUGUCUGUCUGUCUUUGUAGAGAAACAGAUACAAAUUCAAAGCUGGUAUCUGCACAUCAGAGCGAAUAUUUGUGGCAAUUGUCUUUCUGAGUCUAAUAUUCUUCACUGAUACUGUAAUUUCCAGAUGCAUCCAUCUUCCUGAAUAUUUCCUUUUUCUUUAGGGGAAGGAAAAACACAAGGAAUCUAGACCACAAUAACCUGCCUUUGGAUUACUUUCAUUUCAAUGCUUAUGAUGUGGGACCUUUUAAAAAAUGUUCUUGCUUGUUUAUUCUUGUCAGAGUCUCAUUAUGUACUAAGGAUGGCCUUGAAUUCAAAUUCUUUUCCAAGUAGCACCAGAAGUUACUAGCAAGUAUAGUCAGACAAGAAAGAAGAAACGAAGGACUUUAAGAUCAGAAAGGAAGAAGCAAAACCAUCCUGAUUUCCAUAUGACAUGAUUAUGUAUAAUAAAAACUGCACACACACAUGCAUGCACACAAACAAGACCCUGUUAGAAUGGAUGAAUUAAUUCAGUACAGUGGUGGGAUUCAAAUCAGUGUGCAAAAAGCAAUUGCAUUUCUUUACGCUAAUAGCAGGCUAUUGGAAGGAGACAUCAAGAGAAGAACCUUAUUUGUGAUAACAUCAAAAUAAUCAGGGCUUGAAAGAAAGCUCUGUAGUAAUACUUGUUGUGCACAUUUGAGGAUCAGAGUUCCUAGCACCCACAUAAAAGCCACAUAAAAACACACCCACUGGGUCUGGUGUUUCUAUAACCCCAGCACUGACAGGUGGAGACAGGAAAAUGGCUGGGUCUUGCUUGCUGCAAGCCUAGCUGAAAAUUUCCAUGUUCUAGAUUCAGCCAGAGACUCAGCUUCAAAGGAAUGAGGCAAAGAGUUAUAGCAUAGGAUACUUAAUAUCUUCCUUCCCUUGACUUCACACUUAUAAUAAGCACACUCCCCUACCACGCACACUCAAGAAUAAUACAUAAUGAAUUGACCUAACCAAAGAGAGAAAGAUUGUGAGGUGAAAAUUACAAAAUAUUGAUGAAAAUAAUUGGAAGUACAAAUAAAGGGACAGAUUGUAUCUGUUUGUGUUUAUGGAUUGUAUGCUGUGGUCACCUUUGCAUUUGGUUCCAAAUUACUACUUAGCUCUUGGCAGAGUCAGAGUCUUCUAAGGGGUACUUCAUGCCAGAGCAAUAGAAAUAUUUGUAAUUCUGUUAGAAGAAAACCAAAUGUAGUUAUUUUGAAACAAUUCAUUUUGUAGUACAGUAACAAUACAAUAACCAAAGUUACUUCAGGGCUGGAAUGUAGCUCAUCCUAGUAUGUGAGAGGUUCUGGCUUUGGUCUUUAACACC